CCCUCUGAAAGAGUCCAGAUAUGAGGUCUGGAAAUGGACUGAAGUUGAACAAAUGCUCUCAGUUUCUGCAAUAACAAACAUUUGGUUCUAGUAACUCCAUGCCUAUCCGAAUCCUCCACAUUCACUUUCAGCGAUGCAAAGUUGUUCUGUUCCUUAAGAACCGAUGCUUGAGUUUCCACAACUAUUGUGCAUUUUCUGCCUUUUUGGGCUUGUCUACAUUACCCACAGGAUCAACCGGCAGCAAUCAAUCCACCAGGGGUCAUCUAGUCUAGACAUGAUAAAUCGACUGCCAAUUAAUAAAUGAUAAAUUGACUCAGGCACUCCACCGGAGCGAGAGGCGUAGACGGAGUUGACGGGGGAGCGUCAGCAGUCGACUCACCACAGUGAAGACACUGCGGAGGUAGAGGAAGGAAGUAAUCUGCACCAGUCCAAAUGCAAUAUGGCCUAAUAACUAGAGCACUGGACUAGGACUCAGAAAAGGCAACAUGGGCUCCGAAGACAGAGCAGUGAGUGCAGGAGACCUGGGUUCCAGUCCAUGCUCGAUCGCUACUGACCUACAUGUCACCUUCGGACCAUCAGCAUUCUGGCCCAUCUGCUCCACUUUCUGCAUGGAGACUGAUGAUAGCCUGGCAGUGAGGCUCCCAGCAUCAACUACCGAAAGGAAUUAAAUCUUAUGUCAGCCCCCCAAAACCUUGGCAGUGCACAGAUGACACUAUUAGCAGGCCCAGAAGAGGUGACUGAACACCAACACUUGAUGGCUGCUGCUGGUUAGCUCUGCGUGCUCUGAUUCCAAAGUGAUGGGCAUGAUAUAAAAGCUUAGCCAGCCAGAAGCUUGCACUGUUGCGGUCUAUGCUGUCUCAUGCGAUGGGGUCUGCCAGAGGACUCCUUCAGGGCUGCCAAUCUGGCAUCUUUCACAAGCACCAAAUUCAUACCAAGAAAACAAUGCAAUGAAAUGUAAAGGAAUAAACCAGAGCAGUUACAGGAAACCUUUUCAACUGCAGUUCCAGGAAAAACCUUGUUUAUAAGGGUGUAUACACAAGCAUUCUGGUAGAGGCUGAUCGUUAUUUUCUGGCCCCAAUCACAUGACAUGGGUCUGGGUUACCAAAGGUGAUCCCCUAACUCUCUUGGCUACUGUCACUGCGAUGCUUCCCAGAGUUACCCAGGGUGGGAGACACCUCACUCCCCCUGCCCUUAGCAUAAGAAAGCCUGUGCUUGCCAUGGGUCAGCUCCCCAACUUCACCGGUUCCUAGCAACACAAGCACUCCCCUGUAGGUCUACGCAGGGCCCGCGCGAUGCUGUGAUUCUGCAGGUUAGCCAGAGGCACAUUCCAACCCCUGAACCCUCCCAGCAUCUCCCUGGAUACCCAGCCCCUGUUCCACUGGCCAUUCGCAGUAUUCACACAUUCGCUGCUCCCAAAGGAACAGUACAGCCCAGCUUACCUCCUACACUUUAGAUCAC